CAUGUACUCCCUCCGUUCCAAAUUACUCAUCGCAGAAAUGGAUGUAUCUAGAACUAAAAUACAUCUAGAUACAUCCAUAUUUGCGACAAGUAAUUUGGAACGGAAGGAGUACUCG
rnacentral:pre_miRNA from 1 species